CUCCACAGCUCUCCUGGCUUCUAUCCACAGCUGUGCUCCAGGUGGGGAACACCUAUGGAUGCACCAGGGUGCAGCUACUCAGACUGCAGCAUGCAGAAGGGCCCGGGCUCUAUGCUAUUUCCAUAUCCAAGCCCAAGCUCAUCUAGAGCUUCCACAAAUCCAAGCCUCCGUGAAUUCCCUGCAAGACCGAACUGAGCCCUACAACCCCCAACUACACUGGUUAGCUGCCAGUCCCAGCCCCUGCUCCCUCCUGGGCCCUUGUCUGUACAGUUCUGAAGUCCUGCAAGAAUGUUGAGAUCCUAAGCUGACUCUCACCCAAAGAGGUAAACAACCAGGGGCCUCCAGGUGAAGAGAACAUACCCAGACAGGUUCUGCUGCCUGUAGGCUGGAUGUCCUUCCCCCACAACAUGCCAUACUUGCCAGGCUGGAAGGGGGGCUCCAGAAACUUUGGAAACCUGGGCCUGUAGCUGGCAUAUGGAAAAGAGGCCUGGAAAAGCACCACUCCUG
rnacentral:lncRNA from 1 species